rnacentral:lncRNA from 1 species
CAAGAACAAGGCAGAGUGGAACGGAGGACAGUGCCUGGCAGAUAGAAAGCAGAUAUAAAGUCAAGUCUCGAGUCUGUUCCACAUGGCCGCAGAUAGUGUUCCAAACAGCAAAGACUCUAGAGAAGAAAAAUACCAUCAAGUCAUUUAGUCAGCUGGACGGCAGGACCGGGUGUCUUGGAAGUCCUAGCCCUGAGGAAGAUUUGAGGUUAUGCAGCUUUCAAGAGGAAGAUGUUUCAGGAUACUUACUUCUGAUCUCAUGGCGGGGCAUCACACCAGACCCAUUACAUGCAUGCUGGGAGAACAGAGCAACCUUCAAUCCCUAUACACGGGCUACUUAACCCUCUUGGUCUCCUCUUUCUGGCAGAAGGAGCACAGAGCAGCCAGGCGUGAGCUGUGAGAAGAUGAGGCAUCUGCAGAUGAAGUUCUGAUGCACCCACUCAUGGAGGCCAAGCUAUCCCUCCUGCAAGUCCUGCCCCGAUAAGGCUUCUCCCACCGGCUUCCCAUGGGCUUUCUGAGACUGUUUUCCAGAUGGGCUCAGGGGUCCCUCAAAUGAGGCAGCGUGGGGGAAAGACUGAAAGAACUCCGCAGGGUCACACAGAGUGCCUAGAGACCAAGGCACCAGCAUAAAGGCUACAUUUGUGAGGAGCAACAGAAAGACAGCCAAGCACUGAGGAGCAGGUGGAAGACCUGCUGGUCGUCUAACCUAUUGAUGACCCUCGAUGUGUUUAAAGAGGAAAAGAAGAUGCAUAUGAAGUCCCUGAGGAUCCUGGGAAAAAGUUGGAUGCUCUAGGAGUGGCCAGAGAGAAUACAGGAUGCACUUGGAACAUUUUGUACCAGAAAGCAAAAGAGAACCCCAAGAUUGAUAGAGCCAUGGCCAAAAGACCUACAUAGGAGCCAAUUCAAACUGCUCACACUGGCCAGACCUGGUGACCUGCGCAUCAAAAGCUAUGAUACUGACAGGGGAUGGGGAAGGGGCCCAAAGCUGCAUCAUUCAGUAAUAAUGUUCAUGAAAGAACAGAGGGCUAAGGAAAGUGUUUCUUUACAAGAAUUCUAGGUGAUACAUACAGAGUGGUUCUAUAAUACAAAACCUUAAUUUUCUAACCCACAGUAUUAUCAUUGGCAUAAGCAGGAGUCGUUAAUAGACGAUAGAGUCAGUAGGUGAAGAUUAAAAAGAUGUCUAUACAGGGACAGAGUGUUGCCCCACAAACUGCUUAUUAAUUAAAA